rnacentral:rRNA from 22 species
GGCCUUUGGAGUGUGAUCAUAAGGUCCGUCCUGCCCGGUGACUUGGUUAAACGGCUGCAGUACUCUGACUGUGCAAAGGUAGCAUGAUCAAUUGUCCGGUAAUUCCGGUCUGGUAUGAAUGGUUAGACGAUAGGAAUACUGUCUUUUGUCUCUAGGUUUGAAGUUAGUCUUUAGGUGCAGAGACCUAAAUGUAAGAGUGGGACGAGAAGACCCUAUAGAGCUUGAACUUUUAUUAUAAUUAUUAUGUGAAGAAGUUUUGGUUGGGGCAACUACUUAUAAAGUUUAACAUAGGUUUUGUAUAAAUAAUUUUAAUUUAUGGAUGACCUUUAAGAUUAGAGGAAUAAGAAAAAGUUACCUUAGGGAUAACAGCGUAAUCUUUCUUGAGAGUCCUUAUUAACAGAAGGGUUUGCGACCUCGAUGUUGGAUCAAGUUAGCCUGAGGGUGCAGCCGCCUUCGAGGGUUGGUUUGUUCAACCAUGAAAAACUU